AAACCAAGUAUUGCCUACUGUUUUCUGCCAAAAAUAAGCAACAGACGACGGUCUACUAUAUACUUGGAAGAACAAUAGUCGACUCCACCCUGGUUUUUCUCUUUUUAUGAAUUUCCAGGACUAAAUCAACGACUAAAAUAA
rnacentral:snoRNA from 1 species